AAAGAUACGCAUUGGGUAUACACAAAAUAAGAAUAGGUUCAAUCAUUCACCAUUCAUAGGAUAGAUAGCUCCAGAAACCCAAGGGGAAGUUCAACAGACAAAGAACACGAAGAAAAAGGAGCAGAAACAACACCAAAGAAUGCAAAUUAGUUCCUUAAGCACCUGCCGCUUAUCCUCCCGUAUCUGCUGCACCAAAAAGCACGGCUCCUCCUCCAUCCAGUAACGGUUACCCCUAUCCUUCAUCCCUGUUGCCGCAAGGAGAUGAGCUGCUUUGUUACAUUCCCUGGGAGUGAAAAGAGCCUCUCAAGAGAGGAAAUGUCGAAGAAAUAACCUGGCAUCCUCAAUAAUGGGUCUGAUUGGUGAAAAAUCUGGCGACCUCUCUUGCAGCUUCUUGAUAAUGCAUAGCGAGUCUCCUUCUAUAACUACUCUCCAAAACCCCAUCUCCAACGCUUGAAGGGCACAGCAGGCAGCCCUAGCUUCUGCUGCAAAUGGGCUGGUAACAUUAAGGAAAAUUUUGAAACAGGAUACAAGAACCUCACCAGCAUGGUCCGGAACAAAAAUCCCGAUAGCAGCUCGCAUCAAAAUUAAUCUUAACCAUACCUUCUCUAGGCGCCCCCUGCAAGAUACAACGGCUCGCCAUUUCCUUCACUAAUGGCUGGUGUAAACAUUCAACGUCCGUCGGAAAAUAUAUUAUUUCUUUAAUGGCUAUUAGCAAUUGGAUCAAGAUUUUCACUAAUGGCUAUUAUCUAAUUUUGAUAUAUUAUUAUAUUUAUUUAAUUAAAAAUUUACUUUAAAGG
rnacentral:lncRNA from 1 species